rnacentral:rRNA from 1 species
UAUCUCUGUAGAGUCUGCAUAUCAAUAAGCGGAGGAAAAGAAACUAACUAGGAUUCCCUCAGUAACGGCGAGUGAAGCGGGAAGAGCUCAAAUUUGAAAUCUUAAAGGGUUCUACCUUGACGAAUUGUAGUUUAAAGAAGUGUUUUCUGUUGGAGUUUUGGUAAAAGUUCUUUGGAAUAGGACAUCAUAGAGGGUGAGAAUCCCGUAUUUGACCAUUAUUUCCAGCUUUGUGAUACACUUUCAAAGAGUCGGAUUGUUUGGGAAUGCAGUCCAAAAUGGGUGGUAAAUUUCAUCUAAAGCUAAAUAUUGGCGAGAGACCGAUAGCGAACAAGUACCGUGAGGGAAAGAUGAAAAGAACUUUGAAAAGAGAGUUAAACAGUACGUGAAAUUGUCAAAAGGGAAGCGUUUGACACCAGUGUUGUUUUCUCGAAAAUCAAUUAAAAAAGGCAGGAUUUUGUGUUGUAUUGACCUUAUAAGCUUUCUGCACUCUUUUCCAUGUCUUUUUUAAUGCACUUUUCGUUUAACAGGUCAACAUCAAUUUCUUUUGUUGUAAAAGGGUCAUUGGAAGGUGGCUUUCUUUUCGGAGAAAGUGUUUAUAGCCUUUGACUUCUGCAAUCGGAGAGACUGAGGUCUGCAGCGUAGAUCCUUCGGGAUUAGAUUACAUUUGUGCUAAGUUAUAGCCGUUUAUAGACAACUUGUUGACUAUGAUUCAGAUCCUGUAGCUUACUCGCUUAUGUAUUUUACCUACGCUUAGGAUGUUGAAGAUGUAGCACAUCAU